AGAGGACCUGUUUUCUCAUAUCAUCACAUCUGAUGGAUAUGCCAAACUUCAUCCAAAUUCAAACAGGCACACCCUGAAUGACAUGGGGAAAUGGAAGGAGAAAAAAAAAAACAAUGCUAAAAAGCCUAGAGAUGACCACAUAUGAAACGACCAUGUGUGUAAAGGAUUGCUGGAAAAUAAAUCAGGAAGUAUGAGGAGAUUUUCCUCCAGUAUUCACUGUGAGAAACUGGUCCUGCUCCUGGAGGCAAAUUCACAAAAGCACGGAGGCCCUGAUGACUGAGUGCCCCCCAGUUUUUAAUCUCUGGGGCUCGUUGGCUCUGGGCCUCCAGCCACUCAUCAGUGAUGUUCAGGUUUCCCUACCUUGGCACUGCUUCCCACGGAGAUUAGUAGCACCAAAUCUGUGGAGCCAGAAGAUGUGGAUUCAAACUCCUGCUGCACAUCUUGUAUGCUUUUUGAUUUUGAAAGAGUUUUUUUUUUCCUUUUUGAGCCUUGGCUUCCAUAUAUACAAAAUGAAGUUACUAAUAAUAUCAACCUUAUAGGAGAUGGCCUGGAUUCUGCCAUGUAAAUCAAAGAAGAGAGGGCCUAACUCAGCUGCCUAGCCUGGAUCACCUGGAACCCAUUAGGAUACAGGAUCAUAAACACCUCUAUUUUCCCUUCAGAGAGAGACCAGAACCACUGGAGUUAAGCUACCUGCAUAAGAGUUGAGUGCGAUCAGCUGUACUUAAUCUUUAAAUGUCCAACCCACUGAUAACCUUUGGUUUGCUUUGAUAACUAUGAAAUAAAUUCUCACUGCA
rnacentral:lncRNA from 10 species